GUGACUGCGUACCUUUUGUAUAAUGGGUCAGCGACUUAUAUUCUGUAGCAAGGUUAACCGUAUAGGGGAGCCGGAGGGAAACCGAGUCUUAAUUGGGCGUUAAGUUGCAGGGUAUAGACCCGAAACCCGGUGAUCUAGCCAUGGGCAGGUUGAAGGUUGGGUAACACUAACUGGAGGACCGAACCGACUAAUGUUGAAAAAUUAGCGGAUGACCUGUGGCU
rnacentral:rRNA from 2 species